UCUGGCAUAUUCAAAGGAGCUGUUAUUUUAAAUUCGCCCACCAUCUGCAUGGCAUCCUUCCACCCUACAAGAUAAAAAGACGCUUCCACUUGGACAAAAGCUGCUGGUUAAAAGUGUUUCACUUGAGGCUGUGUGACUUUAAGUAACUGACAACUCCUUGAAGCAUCAGUUUCCUCAUAUACGAAGAUUGGCAAAGGCAUUGGGAGAAGGAGAUGCCUCAGAGAACCAGCAAAGCCUCCAUCACCCUGAAGACAGAGAAUUAUGGAUGUGAGUGUGUUAAAGUUUCCAGGGACAGCAAAGAUAAGUGGAUGCGGCUUUGUUUCCUCUUGCUUCCUCCACAUAUGAAACCAUUCUGAUAGAUCUGCAGGAAGAGAUGUAGUCGCAGAUGGCAGAGUGAAUAGUUAUGCCCAUGAAGCCAAGAAGAAAGCCACAAUGGCACAAAUUAGACACGCACACGUGAAAAAGAAUAAACUUGUUACUAUGCAAUAAUAAGACCCAGAGGGAUGCAUUAUCAGUUACACUGUCCAUGAGGAGAAAACUUCCCAGUUUCUCAGGCAAGAGCAGGUCUCAUAGUUUGCAUCUGGUGUGGACAGAGACAGUAUUCACCAGCAUGGCAUGAAUUUAGG